UGUAAGAAUUAAUGGUCGAACAGACCAAAUUUUUAAACUUCUACACCUAAAAAUUAUCUUAAUCCAACAUCGAGGUCGCAAUCUCUUUUAUCGAUAUGUUCUCUCUAAAAAUAUUACGCUGUUAUCCCUUAAGUAACUUAAUCUUUUAAUCAUUAUUAAUGGAUCAAUUCAUUAAUUUAUGAAAAAAAGUUUAACAAAUUUUCCUAUCACCCCAAUAAAAUAUUAUAUUAAGCUUUAAAGGGUCUUCUCGUCCUUUAAAUUUAUUUAAGCUUUUUAACUUAAAAAUUAAUUUCUAUAACAAUUAAAAUGAGACAGUUGAUAUUUCAUUCAAUCAUUCAUUCCAGCUUCUAAUUAAGAAACUAUUGAUUAUGCUACCUUUGCACAGUCAAAAUACUGCGGCCUUUUUCAAUGGGCAGAUUAGACUUUAAAUU
rnacentral:rRNA from 1 species